rnacentral:rRNA from 1 species
UACGUAGGGGGGCGAGCGUUGUCCGAAGUUACUGGGCGUAAAGCGCGCGUAGGCGGGGGGAUUAAGUGGGAGGUGAAAGGCUGGGGCUCAACCUCAGUAGUGCCUCCCAUACUGGUCUUCUUGAGGGCGGUAGGGAGAAGUGGAAUGGCUGGUGUAGCGGUGAAAUGCGUAGAUAUCAAGCGGAACACCGUGCGGAAGGCGGCCUUCUGGACGAUGACUGACGCUGAGACGCGAAAGCGUGGGGAGCAAACAGG